rnacentral:rRNA from 1 species
UACGAAGGGUGCAAACGUUGCUCGGAAUUAUUGGGCGUAAAGGGUGCGUAGGCGGUUUGGUAAGUCUUAUGUGAAAUCUACAGGCUCAACUUGUAGUCUGCAUGAGAAACUGCCGGGCUUGAGUAUGGGAGAGGUGAGUGGAAUUCCUGGUGUAGCGGUGAAAUGCGUAGAUAUCAGGAGGAACACCUGUGGCGAAAGCGGCUCACUGGACCAUAACUGACGCUGAUGCACGAAAGCUAGGGGAGCAAACAGG